ensembl:misc_RNA 7SK 7SK RNA
GGAUAUGAGGACGAGCUGGCUGUGACAUCUGUCACCCCAUUGAUGGCCAAGGUUGAUUUGGCUGAUCUGGCUGCCUAGGUGGGUGUUGCCUUCCUCCCUUAUGGCUCCAUGUGUGUCCCUCCCAAAGCUGCCCGCUCACCUGUGUGAGAGGACAACCUUCCCCAGUAGAGGAGGAUAUUUCUUCAGUCAAUGGUGUUCGGAUAACUCCUCCGCUAGAACCUCCAAACAAGCUCUAGAGGUCCAGUUGUAGAAGGUGGGGUCAGUCAAGCUUCUGAGAUUCCAGAUACCUCCAAAUGAGGUGCUGCAUGUGGCAGCCUGCCUUUCUCA